CUCAUGUAAGCGUGCCUUUAUUUACCUGCUGUGACGUAGAUAACGGUGCAGUUGUUAAUAAAUAUGCUAACCUAAGCUACAAGCUGCUCGUGCUGACGUGACUGUAACGCGUUACAGUACUCCGUUAUAGUACUCCGUUACAGUACUCCGUUAGCAGCCUCCACUAUCUCCGUCCGCCGCUCAGUCUGCGCAUCCAUGUGGGUUUUCCCUCCGCGGCGUCCUCCUCAUUGGCCCCUCUGAACAUCCGUCUUCCUCCACGACCAACAAUAGACUCCAAACGCGCACAGGCACACGCGCGAACCGUCCACUCACUCACUCACUCACUCACUCACUCACUCACUCACUCACUCACUCACUCACUCACUCACUCACGCGCCGGCAGCCGUAGCGCGCACGGAGCUUUCGAGGAGCGCCGGUGAGAUGUUGGCAGACCCGCGGCUCGCCGACUCUUCCGUUCUUUGCAGCUUCACAUCGGCGAGGAGCGCAGGGAAGAAGCCUCAGAUGCGCUCAGCAGCCGGGGAGAUGAAGUGAGGGAGACCCGGUGGGCUCGGUGGAAGAACAACAAAGCAGGAGGAGAGGAGGGGUGGGGGGCAGAUUUUUUUACCCCUGCGAAGAUGACUGAGUGGUGACAAAGAAAACGGGGAGCCCCUCUGGCUUCGGCUCACACCCGCUACAACUUGAAGGCGCUCAGGGGCACCGGCUCGCUCCGACUUGGACAGCUUUUUAUUGUCACUAUUCCUGGAGGGGAACCAUGCCGGUCCGGAGGGGUCAUGUUGCGCCACAAAACACAUUUCUGGGAGUAAUUAUUCGGAAAUUCGAAGGACAGAAUAAGAAAUUCAUCAUAGCCAAUGCCCGGGUGCAGAACUGUGCUAUCAUCUACUGUAACGACGGCUUCUGCGAGAUGACGGGCUUCUCCAGGCCGGACGUCAUGCAGAAGCCAUGCACUUGCGACUUCCUGCACGGCCAGUUCACCACCCGGCACGCCGUGGCCCAGGUGGCCCAGGCGCUGCUGGGCUCCGAGGAGAGGAAGGUGGAGAUCACCUACCAUCGUAAGGACGGUUCAAACUUCCUCUGCGCCACCCACAUCAUUCCUGUGAAGAACGAGGAGGGCGUGGUCAUGAUGUUCAUCCUUAACUUUGAUUACAUCCUGGACGAAGAAAGCAGCGACUCGCUGGAGAGACUCAACCACACGUCCCCUUCCAAAGCUGACCAACGGAAGGGGAGAUUCUUUCGCUUCCGUUUGCCGACCUUACCUCUCCUGGGCAUCAGCAAGCAGUCCCUGCCCCAGGAAGAUCCUGACGCCGUCAUGGUGGACUCCCCUCGCCACAGUGACGGCUCAGUGGCGACACGUGACUACCAACUUCCCACCACCCGAGAGAGCUGCAGUCCCUCCUACGCCAAUGACACCCGUGCCCUCAUUGGCCCCAGCCACUGCUCCACCCCCGUCUCCGGGCCUUUGGACCACUCGUCACCAAAAGGCCCCUGGGACCGGACAUACCCAGACCAAGCCGUCGCCCAGACCCAACACCAGAGUCAGGAGGACACACUGAUUACAGCCCCGUCGAUCCCGGGCCUCACUCCAACCGCCUCCAGAGAGAGUAUGUGCAGUAUUCGCAGAGCUUCCUCCGUACACGACAUAGAAGGCUUCGGGUCCAACUCCAAGGUGGCAUUCAGGGACCGGCACGCCAGUGAAGACAAUGGCCGCAAUAUCAAAGUGUCUCGCUCCUGGAUGGCUGGGGGGCCGCUCAGUCAGAUCAAAUCCAGCCUGCUUGGCUCCACGUCUGACUCCAACCUCAACAAGUACAGCACGAUAAACAAGAUCCCCCUCAUCACGCUUAACUUCUCCGAAGCCAACAACGAGAAGAAGUGCCCCUCCCCUCCGUCCUCUGAGAAGACCAUCAUCGCCCCAAAAGUCAAAGAUCGUACACACAACGUCACGGAUAAGGUCACACAGGUUCUUUCUCUGGGUGCAGACGUGCUGCCUGAAUACAAACUCCAGACGCCACGUAUAGACAAGUUUACAAUCCUCCACUAUAGCCCCUUCAAAGCAGUGUGGGACUGGUUGAUCCUGCUGCUGGUCAUCUACACGGCCAUCUUCACGCCCUACUCGGCUGCCUUCCUCCUUCACGACAUCGAGGAGCAGAAGCGGCGGGAGUGCGGCUACUCGUGCUCGCCGCUCAACGUGGUGGAUCUGAUAGUGGACAUUAUGUUCAUUGUGGACAUCCUCAUCAACUUCAGGACCACUUACGUCAACAUCAACGAGGAGGUGGUCAGCCACCCGGCCAAGAUCGCCAUCCACUACUUUAAAGGCUGGUUCCUCAUAGACAUGGUGGCCGCCAUCCCAUUUGACCUGCUCAUCUUUGGCUCAGGAUCAGAGGAGACCACCACUCUGAUCGGUCUGCUAAAGACCGCCCGUCUCCUACGGCUGGUACGAGUUGCCCGUAAGCUGGACCGCUACUCAGAGUACGGCGCUGCCGUCCUCAUGCUGCUCAUGUGCAUCUUCGCUCUGAUCGCACAUUGGUUGGCCUGCAUCUGGUACGCACUUGGCAAUGUGGAGAUGCGAUAUCUGGAGCAUAAGAUCGGCUGGCUGGACAACUUGGGGGUGUCAAUCGGAAAAAGAUACAACUCCAGUGACCCCAGCUCAGGUCCCUCCAUCAAAGAUAAGUACGUCACGGCGCUUUACUUCACCUUCAGCAGUCUGACCAGCGUGGGCUUUGGAAAUGUCUCCCCCAACACCAACUCCGAGAAGAUCUUUUCCAUCUGUGUCAUGCUCAUCGGAUCUCUAAUGUACGCCAGCAUCUUUGGGAAUGUGUCCGCCAUCAUCCAGAGGUUGUAUUCAGGUACAGCCAGGUAUCACCUCCAGAUGCUGCGGGUCAAAGAAUUCAUCCGUUUCCACCAGAUCCCAAACCCACUGAGGCAGAGGCUGGAGGAGUACUUCCAACAUGCCUGGACGUACACCAACGGCAUCGACAUGAACAUGGAGGUCCUGAAGGGUUUCCCAGAGUGCCUGCAGGCAGAUAUCUGCCUCCACCUCAACAAGAACCUUCUGCAUGGCUGUAAGGCAUUUCGUGGAGCUACCAAAGGCUGCCUCCGGGCCCUGGCCAUGAGGUUCAAGACCACCCAUGCACCCCCUGGAGACACACUAGUCCACUCUGGAGACGUGCUCACGGCGCUCUACUUUGUCUCCCGCGGCUCCAUCGAAAUCCUCAAAGAUGACAUUGUGGUGGCCAUCCUGGGUAAGAACGACAUCUUCGGUGAGAUGAUCCACCUGUACACCAAGCCUGGGAAGUCCUGUGCAGAUGUGCGAGCUCUGAGCUACUGCGACCUGCACACCAUUCAGAGGGAGGAGAUUCUGGAGGUGCUGGACAUGUAUCCAGAGUUUGCUGACCAUUUCCUCACUAACCUGGAGUUAACCUUUGAUCUCCGUGAUGAAAAGACGACUUACCCACAAGCAACUGAUUCUAACUCGGAUGACGUCAAGUGUCGAAGACGGAUGUCAUACAGAAGAAAAUCUUCCACAGGUCGACUCCAGAAGGAGGAGCUGCUUCAGGGGCCCCGGAGGGCGAAGGAGGCCCUCCGGCUCCGGCCCCAAACCUGACCAGCAACAGACGCCUGCAGCAGACUCAGGCUCAGGUGGACGAGGUGGUGGACAUCAUGCGUGUGAACGUGGACAACGUCCUGGAAAGAGAUCAGAAGCUGUCAGAGCUGGACGACCGGGCCGAUGCCUUGCAGGCCGGAGCCUCGCAGUUCGAGAGCAGCGCUGCAAAACUCAAGAACAAGUACUGGUAGAAGAACUGCAAGAUGCCGUCAACCUGGAACCACGCGGAGCCUGAACGGGGUUUUACCGGCCGUCGUGGAAUUCAAACACGGAGGUCUUUCAUCCCCGAACCCAGUUCCAGGGGGCUGUGCACAGACUUUGGUCUCCCUCAAACUGCUCCUUAGGGUCCCAGGUGUUAUUGGCAUCCGGCUCGAAGGACCAAGUUUAUGUUUAUGAAAAAUACACAUGCUCAGCACAGGAAGGAAAGACAGUACUCAUGAGCUCAGAUCUUUUACUUGCCGCAAGGGGAGAUAAAGACGUAUGCACCACUGCUUACAGCCUUCCUUCUCUGAAGAGUCUGUAUCUCCUCUGCGUCUUUUAUUUAGUUUCAACCAGUCAUGUAACAUGGGGCGGCAUCAUGCAUCAGCAUAAGAUAUGUUUAACAGAGAAAGUGUCAGAGAAAUUGUCACUUGCAUUAUCUUAUCAUAUGGAACACGUAAACCCUGUUCUCAUGUUUCUACUGUGAGUACAUACAGAUUACAGUUAGAAUGUACAUGUACUUCUCAACAAGAAGUGCUUACAUAUGCAUAGAGAUACCUUUACAGUCAUUCAAUGAUAACCACAAUGAACAUUCUUCAGUGUGCAAUCCAUUGUUCACUGACCCUUUCAUUAUCCCAGAAUGUAUUUGUACACAAGCUAUAAAACAGAACAAAACAUCCGUGUACUUUAGUAGUGCAUCAAUGGUGUGUUUUGAUACCAUUUGUAUGCUUUGUGCAGGCUGUGGAGGAUCCUCCCUGAUGAUGAACACAGCCAUUGUGGAACUCUCAAGCUCUGUUUCAGCUUCAUCCUUCUAGACAACCUGAAAACAGACAAGAUUUAUUACAAAGUUAUUCUGAUGAAUCUUAAUGUGUAAAAAAGGCUACAGUAACAAUAAUCAAUAGAGUAGCCGACUUUAAUAGCUAAUAUGCAUAUUCCAGUUGCACAACUGGACUGAAAAUGCAUAACAAAACUUUAAGAUAUAAUUGUGUUCAUGUGACGCUUUUAAUUGUUAUGAACAAUGAAAGAAAGAGAUGAGUAAAUGAGUGAAGCCACCAGACAUGAUUGUGAUUUUGUAAUGCAGAAAGACAAUGAGUUACAAGGCAAACUCUUUGAGACAAAUAGGGCAAGACAAAGCCUUCUCAUAGUCUGCCUUGGACCAAAAAGAGGCCGAAAACCAAGGCUAAGUGAAGUACUAGAGACAGAACUUCAGGCAGAGAUUAAUGCUCCUAGAUCAGAAUCUGAGAAAGUCUGCAGAAUGACUAUAAGAUGACUGAAGGAAGAAGCCAUUAUUGAGGCCUGCAAACAUCCAAAAACACCUAAAAUUUGCCAGGGAGCACAAACACUGGACUGUAGAUGACUGGAAGAAGAUACUACAGAUGGACAAGACCAAAUCUGAACUCUUCUUGCCCUCAGAAAAGCUGGAGAACGUUUUGAUACUAGAUGCAUUACAUGCAGUGAAACACGGGGGAGAUUAUGGCAUGGGCAAAAUCCGUUAAAACUGAUGGUAUCAUGAACAAGCAUGUCUGCCACAACAUCUUGGUGCAUCAUGCCCUUCUGGAUUAAAUCUGAUUGGUCGUGGGCUCAUAUAACAACAAAACAAUGACCCCAAUGCAGAGACUACUGGACCAAGAAAAAAGAAUCUGGAGUUCUGGAACUGAUGGACUGGCUUAAGUCAAAGUCCAGACUCGGGGGUACAUACCUGAACAAGAACACUGACCAUCUCCUGGGUCUUCUCUCUGACAACUCAUUUGCUGUGGUGCUUGUCCUAAAAAAACAAAACAAACACAGCACUAUGAUUACAUUACAGCUGUAAGUGUAAGGCCAAAACAACCCAACUCAAUUGUCUCAUUCAUUUGAUCUUUUGAAGAAAAUGUCUAAAAGUGGCAAAUCAUUCACAACAUGGUACUUGCCCAUAUACCAUCAGAAUCCUUUAUUUCUUUCUGUUCAAAGAAAUUUUUCUAUGUCAUUGAACUCUGACGAUUUCUGCAUAAAUAUUUGUUUUGUACAAACACAAACAACACAAACUACUGUGACAUGUUUCAAGUAGUCUUUUGACGUCAAACUUUGAUUACAGUUCCAUGAGACGUUUAAAUGUCGUCGGUUCAGUUUGUGAGGAUGGCUGAUGAAAUCUGGACAAGUGGGUCAAAAGUGCCAAGUCUAAUGCCUGUGUUCAAGUUUAUAAUGUUUAAGAAGCUCAGUCCAUGCAGAAGACCCAUGUUACUCAUUUUCAUCAGGAUCAUACAUUUUGCAUAUUAUUUAUAAAGGAAGACAGCACCUAUUAAACUGAGUAGUUAAUUACA